UUAGUAUUUAUUAUUUAACUUUUUUUAUUGUGGUCAGGAUCUUCACUAAUUGUAACAUAAACGAACAUGAAAUAAAAAAGAAGCGAGACAAUUCCUUCGGUAAGUACAGUUACCAAGUGUUCGUCGUUGAGCAAGAAUCUGGUGUCUCACAAAAGACCUUAAACGCUUGGGCAAAAACAUUCUUCGAUACCAAUAGAACUUGUCGGUAUCCUGGUUGCAUUUGUAACAGCACAUUCGUUGCUGCUGGUAAAGCUGGCCAGGACGAGGCUCGACACAUUACCAGGUGCUAUGCCCGUUAUGUGUGUAACGAUCGCAGUUCACAUUACGGGAUUUACUCAACUCUAACUGGACAUUGGCCUGAUACUUGUGCUAUGCGAGCUACAAGGGUUCACGAAGUUGGCUCAUUCAUUCAUUCACUGGUUCUGACAGUGAAUCAGAACUGGCAUCAGCAGAUAACCAUAAAGUUCCUGCGGUCACUGUUGAGUUGGAAAAAUUUCGAAGAGAUGUACACUCUUUCGGUCAACCGUUCAACGCGAUUAAAUCAAAUACUAUGGUUUUUAAUAACCCGAUGGCCAAAAUGAUCACCGAUACUGCUGCGGAAGUGGUCAACCAAAUGAUUGAUCAUGAAAUUCCGGUUAUACUGGAUCGCAAUAUUGUUGAACUUUCCAAGCCUAUUUCUUUUUCUCGAAAAUUUUUGGCGCAAAGUUCAAAGUGUUGAACCGCGAUAGCUGUUGAUUAAGCAUUAUUUAUUUCAUAUCAUUCAAUAUUUUUAGAUAAUUAGAUUAGAUUUAGUUUUUUCGCAAUUAGAAAUUAUCAAAUUCACCUCUCUAUUUAGUGUACAUAUUCCAUUGAAUAAUAAUCAAUCAACAUACUAAUAGACACAACUUAAUUAACGUUGUUGUCUAUCUGGAGUAAUUUUGGAGAACGCGCAUCAGAGGCGCUGAUUUUUAAAUGACAAAACAUUUGCUAAUUUUGAUAAUGAAAUCAAUUGAAUUUUAUUGAAAAAAAUUUGAUUAAAAUACGAGAAAAAAAUUGUUAUAAUAACAAUGAUUAUUAUUAAAAAUCACAAA